UACGUAGGGUGCAAGCGUUGUCCGGAAUUAUUGGGCGUAAAGAGCUCGUAGGCGGUUCGUCGCGUCGGCUGUGAAAACCUGAGGCUCAACCUCAGGCCUGCAGUCGAUACGGGCGGACUUGAGUACUGCAGGGGAGACUGGAGUUCCUGGUGUAGCGGUGAAAUGCGCAGAUAUCAGGAGGAACACCGGUGGCGAAGGCGGGUCUCUGGGCAGUAACUGACGCUGAGGAGCGAAAGCGUGGGGAGCGAACAGG
rnacentral:rRNA from 1 species